rfam:Buttiauxella agrestis ATCC 33320 GBAG.assembly.029, whole genome shotgun sequence.
CAUAGCGGGUGGCGUACUUCCUGAUAACGGGCAGUGUAAUCGCUAUGGCUGAAAUUCAGCCCAGAUACCAGGCCCGCCCAGAGCGGGCUUUUUUUU